rnacentral:rRNA from 1 species
AUUGAACGCUGGCGGCAGGCCUAACACAUGCAAGUCGAGCGGAGCGGCGGACGGGUGAGUAAUGCCUAGGAAUCUGCCUGGUAGUGGGGGAUAACGUCCGGAAACGGGCGCUAAUACCGCAUACUAUCAGAUGAGCCUAGGUCGGAUUAGCUAGUUGGUGGGGUAAAGGCCUACCAAGGCGACGAUCCGUAACUGGUCUGAGAGGAUGAUCAGUCACACUGGAACUGAGACACGGUCCAGACUCCUACGGGAGGCAGCAGUGGGGAAUAUUGCACAAUGGGGGAAACCCUGAUGCAGCAACGCCGCGUGCGGGAUGACGGCCUUCGGGUUGUAAACCGCUUUCAGCCAUGACGCGGUAGUGGCAGAAGAAGCACCGGCUAACUACGUGCCAGCAGCCGCGGUAAUAC